UACGUAGGGGGCUAGCGUUGUCCGGAAUCAUUGGGCGUAAAGAGCGUGUAGGCGGCCCGGUAAGUCCGCUGUGAAAGUCGGGGGCUCAACCCUCGAAUGCCGGUGGAUACUGUCGGGCUAGAGUGCGGAAGAGGCGAGUGGAAUUCCUGGUGUAGCGGUGGAAGUGCGCAGAUAUCAGGAGGAACACCGAUGGCGAAGGCAGCUCGCUGGGACGGUACUGACGCUGAGGCGCGAAAGCGUGGGGAGCGAACAGG
rnacentral:rRNA from 1 species